GACAGAGGUGCCGAGCGUUAGGCGGAAUCACUGGGCUUAAAGCGUGUGUAGGCGGACUUCUAAGUACCUUGUGAAAUCCCACGGCUCAACCGUGGAGCUGCUCGGUAUACUGGUUGUCUUGAGCCACUUAGGGGCAGUCGGAACAGACGGUGGAGCGGUGAAAUGCGUAGAUAUCGUCUGGAACGCCAAAGGUGAAAACAGCUCGCUGGGGAUGCGCCGACGCUGAGACGCGAAAGCCAGGGGAGCGAACGGG
rnacentral:rRNA from 1 species